UAUCGUCGAGCAUCGAACGUAUUGACUCCCUGUGCACGACUCGGUUUGAGUUCAACGGAGGGAAAAAUCUGAACAGUGGCAGUCGGGGCGUCGAACGUUGUUUCGCGCGUGUCAGUCAAGGCUGAAAGUGCGAUGGAGGCUGGUAGCCACUCUUCGUGGAAAGAAGGGAAGAGUGGGAGGGGAGGUGGCAGUUUUGGGAUUUGUACGAAUCAGGAGAUUAUACCGGGUGGCGCAGAGUUUCCCAUCGUUGCCACCAAGGGGUAGGAAGGGAAUAAGGGCCAAACUUAAAUCACUGGAUUGAUUCUGGCUCUUGUCGCAAAUGGUUUCACGGAUUUCGGCUAGAUACUCUUGUGCACUGAACUAUUCGCAAGUGGCUUUCAGGCGAACUGGGAAAAGGGCCUGGAUAUUUGGCGCAGCUCUGUUGCUCUGCUUAUUCGAGGCGAAGACGUGAAACAAUCGGGGCUGCUCAAUAUAAAUACGAUUAUUUCAAGACACGAGGAAAUUUGACGAACGGCGAAUGUCGAUGAUCGAAAGUAAUCUGAAAAGGAAUCUGGAAUCAAAGGCACUGGAUACUCUAAAUUGAUCUACCCUCGAACCAAAAAUAUGCGCAACUGCUAAAGAAACAAGAAAUUUAUUGGAAUUUAUUGUUAGACCAAAAAAUGACAAUAUUGAAGAAAAUUUAAGUAUUUAUUUUCUUUGAAGGAUACCUUCGGAACGAGAUGAAUGUAACAUGGAGAGAGAAGAACAUGGAUCGCUGAGGUAUUUCCUGGACGAGCGAGAGAGUCAUCCUACGGAAUGUCGAGGCCAUUGAGAGCGAAAGUGUGCAGAUAAGAGGAUCCCGUAGGACUAGACACGAGACUUUGUCUUAAGAUAGGUUACAAGCAGAAGCGCAACAUAGGACACUGGUGCUGCCUUCCGAGAAGCACGGGAAGUUCGCUGAGGAUCAACAGGAAAGUUUCAAGAAUUUAGGUUAUUGCUGGAAAGUUCGACACGUAAACUCGGCUCUAGCUGCGAAACCUAAUCUCGCAGCAGCAAUUCCUUGCAUUCUUUAGUCCACAGGGAUUGGACCCUGGAAAACUUGGAGACUUCUAUCAAGAAGCAUACGAGAAUCAGGGAAACGCAAGAAGCCUGUCUCAAAGAACGAAUGUAACUUUUCUAGACUAUUCUAGAAACAUCUGAUUCCAGUUGAGAGCAGGAUUGGACAAAGCUUCAGGGAGAUUAAAAUAAAGCAAGAGCGCAAGGAGUAUUUCAUAAAUAACGAUCGAAAGUAAAAAAUGGCGAAUGCAAGAAAUCCAAGUAGGUCCGGAAGCUGUGCAAUUUAGACCACAACGUUCUUCCACGUGUAAGCGAAAUACUGUAUUAUGAUGUAACGGCAAAGCCGCAGCUACAGUCGAGCCACUCGGUCUAUGCCAUAGACUGUAUGGUAUGACUAAUUAUACUCGAGCCUGAGGCAGAUCUCGUUGGCUCAACCCUCAAGAGGUGGGAAGCAUCCCAUUAAAGCAAGCUCAUGCUUGGGCCCCCGCGUCAAUACAGAGCCGCACACGAGGAAGGAAAGUGGUGGCGCGCACGCGGCCACCCCUUUUAGACCUUCAGAUCGCAGCCAACCAGCUCUCCAGGGGGGGGACCCACCUCACCCCCACCCUGGAGUACCACGUCCACCACGACGUCCCAUUGUGUACCGGGCAUCGUAAAGAAAGCUGCGAACGGUUUUCAAGAUUACUCGGAUAAAACGUUUCUGCUGACGAGACUGGAAUUUCCAUUACCCUAAAACAUCGUGCAGGCGUUUCCCUGAGCAGCAGCCGCCGCCGCAUCCCAUCAGCGCCGGUUCUCCGAUCCUCUUUGUAGUUCGAAAGGGCAGGCACCCUGAGGGAUUCUCUCGACCUGCAACCCGAGCCGCCGGAAUCAGUACUUUUAAUGACUCCUUUCCAAGAGAAUCGCAAAAUUAAGAGCGACCCGUGCGUUGACAGUUCCAGACUCCCUGAAAAUCUUCAAUCCUACCAAGGACCUCCGAGGAUCCUCUUAAGCUCGUGGAAAAUAAUGAGUCCUAAAUUCAAGCAUCCUGGACCACCUCCUUGUUCUGUAUUCUUUAAUACCAGAACUCUCUGAAGUCACCUACCGGAUUACGUCAUUAGUCCAUCGUUUCAUCGACCCAAGAAAACAUCUAGAUUCCGGAUGAUCCGUCUCGGUUGAAUUUCAGCCACAUCCUGGCUCGUCGGGAUCAUCUAAUUAGCCGCCAUAGGUAAUCCCAUUGUGGCCAAUUAGUCGAGUGAUUUGAACGUUGCGACGUCCUGAUCGUGCCUCCUCUUACUUUUUGAGAUAAAUUCUCCUGGGCCUACUAGACUAGACGCACGGGCUGACACACAUAGAUAUGUAGAUCCUCUCGUAAAUCCCAAGUGACACGCCGAACCUCCUGAGCCUCGCUCUGUCUCUAAU